rnacentral:rRNA from 1 species
UGCAGUCGAGCGGAUGAGAGGAGCUUGCUCCUUAAUUCAGCGGCGGACGGGUGAGUAAUGCCUAGGAAUCUGCCUGGUAGUGGGGGACAACGUUUCGAAAGGAACGCUAAUACCGCAUACGUCCUACGGGAGAAAGCAGGGGACCUUCGGGCCUUGCGCUAUCAGAUGAGCCUAGGUCGGAUUAGCUAGUUGGUGAGGUAAUGGCUCACCAAGGCGACGAUCCGUAACUGGUCUGAGAGGAUGAUCAGUCACACUGGAACUGAGACACGGUCCAGACUCCUACGGGAGGCAGCAGUGGGGAAUAUUGGACAAUGGGCGAAAGCCUGAUCCAGCCAUGCCGCGUGUGUG